GCUCCGAAAACAUAUAUCGAGUGCACAAAUUUAUGGCGGUGCUUGUUUUCUUAAAAGCAUUGUCAGUGUUCUUCCAUGGUCUCAAUUAUUAUUUCCUAAGCAAGUAUGGAAUGCAGAAAGAGAUUUGGGCUGUUCUCUAUUAUAUUACGCAUUUGUAAGUGAGAGUUUUGGACAAUUUUUUCAAAUUUGCAUUAUUGCAAACUAUUAAAAAAAACACCAAACAUAAAUUUCAGGCUCAAAGGAUUGCUUCUUUUCGGAACUCUUAUCCUGAUAGGUACUGGUUACACGUUCAUUAAACAGUUUUUAACUGACCGAGACCGCAAA
rnacentral:sRNA from 1 species